rnacentral:rRNA from 1 species
GAUGAACACUGACAGAAUGCUUAACACAUGCAAGUCUACCAAGAAUCACUUCGGUGAGGAAUGGUGGCGGACGGGUGAGUAACGCGUAAAUAAUCUGCCCUUUAGACUGGGAUAUCCUUUGGAAACGAAGGUUAAUACCGGAUAUUAUGAGAUGGACGCAUGUUCAACUUAUGAAAGCUAAAUGCACUAGAGGAGGAGUUUGCGUCCCAUUAGCUAGUUGGUGAGGUAAAGGCUCACCAAGGCCACGAUGGGUAGCCGGCCUGAGAGGGUGAACGGCCACAAGGGAACUGAGACACGGUCCUUACUCCUACGGGGGGCAGCAGUGGGGAAUAUUGGACAAUGGACCAAAAGUCUGAUCCAGCAAUUCUGUGUGCACGAUGAAGGUCUUCGGAUUGUAAAGUGCUUUCAGUAGGGAAGAAAAAAAUGACGGUACCUACAGAAGAAGCGACGGCUAAAUAUGUGCCAGCAGCCGCGGUAAGAC